CACCUUAUCUCUAAGGGAGAGCCCGGACACCAUGCGGAGAAAACUCAUUUCGGCCGCUUGUAUCCGGGAUCUCGUUCUUUCGGUCACGACCCAUAGCUCGUGACCAUAGAUGAGUGUUGGAACGUAGAUCGACCGGUAAAUUGAGAGCUUCGCCCUUUGGCUCAGCUCCUUCUUCACCACGACAGACCGAUACAACGUCCGCAUCACAGCAGACGCUGCACCGAUCCGCCUGUCGAUCUCUCGCUCCCUUAAAAUCUCCAGUGACCCGUAUAAAGGCUCCGGGAUCUGUGGAUGUUUAAUGAGAGAUUGAAAUUGUAAUCCACUUCAUUCAUAAUGUCAUUCACAUGUAAAAGAUAAGAUAAGAUAAGAAAACCUUUAUUAGUCUCGCAAUGGAUAAAUUCCCAAUUCACAGCAGCAUAGUUAUGAAAGGAAGAAGUAGAACAACAAAAUAUAGGAGCUGCUGGAAAGGCAGCCACUCUCGCGGCGCCAUUUUGAAGUCAAAAUAACAAAAAUAAUACAACACAACACAUAGGACACAGACUGUCGUGCAAUCUUCACCACUUUUCUGCAUACACUUUGUUGUCUGAAGCAGUUUGAGAUGAAAGAGGAGAGGAUCAAAGUGUCCUUUCACCAGUGAAUCAGAGACGUCAUGCUGAAAAUGUGCACACGUCUGCUACAAGCUAAGUUUUGAAAGCAAACGCGAAGGUGUAGCGUCCAUUGACGAAAAGAGAUUAGUUCACUUCUCCUGUCCCACGUAAUCCGCUUCAAACUCCAAGGCGCGACUCCCAGUUCCAAAUCCGCAUCGGCGCUCCGCGCUAACGCUCCUUUCUUCUCAUCGUCGGCUCCUCAAGACUUACAUCCAUCCAGUCGCAGACCGUUCAACAGCACCGAUCUCUCCGCUGAAUAAAGCGGGGCAGUGAAAAAUGCUGCCCAUAACAGGCGCAAGACACAAGCGCCGCGGGACUGUCCAGCAACGACAGUCAAAUGGCGCCGACAUUCCUCCCAGUCAAAAACAAUGCUGCACAGAGUCUCCUCCUUGAUGAAUGUCGUGGCCAAAAAAUGCUGAAAAAAGUCCACAUCAGGUCCACACAACAUAACAAACACAAAAACAACAAAAAAAGCAAGGCUCAUGAGAGCACUUGCUGACGGCUGCCUACUCGGGCUGGCGCCUGAGUCUUGUCUUUAAAAGGGGCUAAAGGUACCCGUUUUGUUUUGUUUGUUCACGGAUCAUACCGGUUUUGUCACGCUGCGCCCGAGGCGAUGAAAAAUCGCCUCGUGCACAACACAAAUAACGAGGUGGAUCCCAGGGAAAAGCAGACACGAAAAGAUCUUGUAUGAAACACAAAAGGUUUUAAUAACGAACAGAAAGAGCCCGACAGGGAAAACGGUAACAAAAAACGCUGGUCAAAUAAGGACCAGGAAAUAAGGGAGACAACCGAAAACGCUCGCGGAAAAACAAAGAGCGAGGAAGUACAGAGAUCAGUAAACUUAGAGCAAUAACAAUUUGGAUGCAACGCGAAUAACAAUAGUAGUGGCCGUAAGGCAAAAAGGCAGCGAGUAAUAUCGAACGAUGAAAUAGCGCGAGAGAACAACGGCACGGUAAGGAAUUCUCCGGCAGUGAGUAAACUGCCGGAGUCUCCUAAUAAAGGAAGCAUAAUCAUCCCGAAUGAACAACAGGUGUGCAGUCGGCGGGGAGAAAGCCCGCCCCCUGCAGGCAGGCACGGAACGUGACAGGUUUCAACAAAUACAGUCGACUGAGCCUGAAAAUGAAUCGCAGAAAUCUGUGACUAAUUGAUGCUCCCUUAUAAUUGCGAGGAAAAAAAAUUAUUAAAUGAGGGAUCAAGGGGAAAAAAGCAUGACUUGCAAGAGAGUGCCCCCCCCCCCCAACAACAAGUAAGCAAGGGUGACGGAACACACACACACACACACACACACACACGAUAGGAGUGUCAGUGAUAAUGGGCAUCUCGUCUCUGUAACACCUUUUAACGUGUAAAAUGUUAAACGUUAAAAAGCGCUUGCCUGCUGGGCCUGUCUGUGCAACACACCUACACAAUUCAUCAAGGACUGUCAUACUGUCUGUUAUAAUAGACGUACAGUCAAUAAAAUCUUAAGAUCUCUCAAAUUCUGAGGUGCUUGUAGACACGUGCAUCGAGCCAAACAAUGAAGACAUAUGGUCACCACAGGACAGGACGACCACAUAUUAAGGAAAACAGAGACACAAUUGGAGUCAAGCUUAUUUAUAUUUUGACUAUUUCUUCAUAUUAAUGAAAAAAUGGAGCAUUCAAAACCACAGUUCUUUCUGACCAGCAAAAAUAUUUUGGAAAAAGGGCGCCCAACUAAUUUCCAAGUUUAGGUAAAUCAAAAAUGACAAUGUUGUUUUUUAUGUUUCAAGGGGACCUUCAACAUAGUUGCUUGCUAUUAGCCAGGAACGCAUGUAAAAGCAAGGAGAUUUUUCAAGCAACCGAAAUAAAAAAUAUAAUAUUACCCACUUGCGGUUUUAUAAUUGGACCAGAACAUUACGAGCAUAGUGCUGUGCUAUUUUUACAUGCUGCUGAGAUGUGACAAAAUGUUCCUCAAAUGUUCAUUAAAAAGCGCCUGCCUGGUGGGCCUGUCUGUGCAACACACCAACACAAGCUGGGAUACAAGCCCCAUACAACACUUCCUACACAUGUGCUGCACUCAUCAAUCAUUUGAACACUAAUUCAUGUCGUUGAUCGUGCACCGUUCAUACUUGAACCGAAAUAAACUCAAUCUCACCUCAACCUCACUUGCAAGUGCAUCUACCGUAUUGGCCCGAAUAUGAGACGGUGUUUUUUGCAUUGAAAUAAGACUGAAAAAGUGGGGGCCGUCUUAUAUUUGGGGUCUAGACAUUAUACCCAUUCACAACGCUAGAUGGCGCCAGAUAUCAUUGAAGCGAAUGCUGAACUUGACUCCCCAGGCCAAAGUGAACCCCUGUCACGAAGAAUAAAAAUAAAAAUAGCGGUAGCCCGAAGAAGAAAAAUAAAAAAUAA